GCAAUACAUUGGUGGCGACCGGCGCACGGGUGAGUAACGCGUAUGCAACCUACCUAUCAGAGGGGAAUAACCCGGCGAAAGUCGGACUAAUACCGCAUAAAACAGGGGUUCCACAUGGAAAUAUUUGUUAAAGAAUUAUCGCUGAUAGAUGGGCAUGCGUUCCAUUAGAUAGUUGGUGAGGUAACGGCUCACCAAGUCCACGGUGGAUAGGGGUUCUGAGAGGAAGGUCCCCCACACUGGUACUGAGACACGGACCAGACUCCUACGGGAGGCAGCAGUGAGGAAUAUUGGUCAAUGGGCGAGAGCCUGAACCAGCCAAGUCGCGUGAAGGAUGAAGGAUCUAUGGUUUGUAAACUUCUUUUAUAUGGGAAUAAAGUGAGGAACGUGUUCCUUUUUGUAUGUACCAUAUGAAUAAGCAUCGGCUAACUCCGUGCCAGCAGCCGCGGUAAUACGGAGGAUGCGAGCGUUAUCCGGAUUUAUUGGGUUUAAAGGGUGCGUAGGUGGUUAAUUAAGUCAGCGGUGAAAGUUUGUGGCUCAACCAUAAAAUUGCCGUUGAAACUGGUUGACUUGAGUAUAUUUGAGGUAGGCGGAAUGCGUGGUGUAGCGGUGAAAUGCAUAGAUAUCACGCAGAACUCCGAUUGCGAAGGCAGCUUACUAAACUAUAACUGACACUGAAGCACGAAAGCGUGGGGAUC
rnacentral:rRNA from 1 species